UUAAAUCUACAAUUCGACGUCAAUUCCUGCGUUUGAAAAGUUGUAUUUCGCCUUUUCAAUCCAUUUAGUUCGCUCAGAUUCUGAAGCUUCCUCCUUGGCAAGUUCAAAACACAACAUUCCGGAAUACUCAUGCAAUGCAGGAUUCUGAUUGUAGGGUGGUAACAGCAAAUACUCAUCAAGCAACUUCAUAGCUUUAUUGUAUUCUUGGCGCUGAAUAAGUAGCAUGAUAUAUGCUGGAAAAAAAUGUUCUGCCUGUAAAUGUUAGUAUAGAAUUGCGACAUAUGAUUGAUUUCAAAUAAGAAGGGACAAAAAAUUCAAUACACGAAAAGAUGAAAGUAUAGACGUUUUGUACCAGUAUACACUUACAUUACGAUUCGGAUAAGAGUUGUUAAUGGAUGGACGCGCAGGAUAUCGAGCUAUUAGUCGCUCCAUAUACUCUGAUGAAGCUUCUGGAUUAACUUUGUUCAAAAUUUCAAGUCCAAUGUUCCAUAAUUUGGAAAUGUCAACACUCUUAGAUCUCAACAGUAAUGAAAAAGCCCUAGAUGCCCUUGGGUAAUCUUUGCGCAAUAAGCAAAGGUGCAUCAACGAACAAAGUGCAUCAAUAUGUCUUGUUUUAUACCUUCUUGAUGGUAAAGGAAUUGGAGGUAUAACAGAAGAUUCCGGGUUGGGAGCGACACUUCGCAAAGUUGAACGUUUUUCUUUAACGGUACAAGGAGAGAACAUGAUUAUAACAGAAUCAAGCUAUAAGUAUUACUUAUUUAAACAAAGCAUAGUUGAUCUAACUAUAACCUUUUAAUCUAGCAUUAUUUUGCUAAUUGCAAGGGUAUGGUUUUUGGCAUCUUAAAGCAGUUAGCACUUGAGCACGACAGUUGCCUCUCUGUUCAACAACGAUCAACCUUAGCUAUUGAUUAACUUUAGAUUUUAAUUACUCAUUCUUUUUACUUUCAUCUAUUUACUCAGCAUAAAAUUUACAGCCAAAAACUACAGGUGUUGUUAUGCACGGCUACAUAAUUAACUGCUUCAAUUGUCAACUGAAAGUACAUUAAGCAAAAGCUUUGAAAUAUAUUAAAUUUCUUUCCUAAUGGACAACAUCCUCCAACAAAAGUAAUUUAUGUGAAGAAACAAAAAGGGAUGUAGGUAGAAAGUCUUGCAAGUCCACCCAUAUUAUCCAAACCCAAAUAACCAACCAAAUAUUAAAGUUUUAUAUAAAAAAAGAACCCCAAGUCCAAAACCAUUAUUCUACCUUCUUUGAGUUUUACCGUUACCACGUUUACCGCUAAGCAAAUGUUUAGGCUUGGCAGCAAUAACAUGUCGAUCACUUUCAGAAGCCCUGGCCAUGCGGUUACGGUGUAUCUGUUUGACACGAGCCAGGCGAUCAGCGUAAGAUCUGGCACCUUCUGCGUGAACACCAGAUUCGCGACGGUUGCUUUGUGAACGUGGGGCAAUAGAUUUAGAGCGAAUUUCUUCACCUUCAUUCAUUAACAAGUCAACACCUGAACCAUCAGCCAUUUCGUUUGCUGCUGCAGUACGUGCACGGGAGCGUGCCCGCUCUUCAAUAGAAUCUGAGGGAAGCCCAGCAGAUUGUAAGGAAGAUUGUAGUUCGUCUAAAGUACGAAUGCCAGCGGUACGGGGAAGUACAGGACGAUUUUUAAUUUUCUUCUGGCGAGCAGCCAACAUAGUCAGCUUGUUUUUCUCACGAAUUCUACUUGCUUUUUCAAGAACCUCUUCCUCAUCGGCAUCCUCAAUUUCUUGGUCAGAAUCAUAAUAUCCUUCACGCUCAAGACGUUCUUCUUCUUCGUCCAAGGCUAAUAACUUCGCUUCAAUUUCAGGAUCAACGA
rnacentral:lncRNA from 1 species